GCCCGGGUGGCGAAACUGGUAGACGCAGGGGACUUAAAAUCCCCCGGUGGCGACACCGUGCCGGUUCGACUCCGGCCCCGGGCACCA
rnacentral:tRNA from 1 species